CGGCGAGUAGCGCAGCUUGGUAGCGCAACUGGUUUCGGGACCAGUGGGUCCGGAGGUUCGAAUCCUCCUCGUCGCCGACCA
rnacentral:tRNA from 1 species